rnacentral:rRNA from 1 species
AGUGAACGCUGGCGGUAGGCCUAACACAUGCAAGUCGAACGAGUGGCGGACGGGUGAGGAAUACAUCGGAAUCUACUCUGUCGUGGGGGAUAACGUCGGGAAACUUACGCUAAUACCGCAUACGCUUGAAUGCGCAGAUGUCGGAUUAGAUAGUUGGCGGGGGAAAGGCCUACCAAGGCGACGAUCCGUAGCUGGUCUGAGAGGAUGAUCGGCCACAUUGGAACUGAGACACGGUCCAGACUCCUACGGGAGGCAGCAGUGGGGAAUAUUGGACAAUGGGCGCAAGCCUGAUCCAGCCAUACCGCGUUGGUGAAGAAGGCCUUCGGGUUUUAAAGCCCUUUUGUUGGGAAAGCGGUACCCAAAGAAUAAGCACCGGCUGACUUCGUGCCAGCAGCCGCGGUAAUUC